GAUGAACGCUGGCGGCGUGCCUAAUACAUGCAAGUCGAGCGAACAGAUGAGGAGCUUGCUCCUCUGACGUUAGCGGCGGACGGGUGAGUAACACGUGGAUAACCUACCUAUAAGACUGGGAUAACUUCGGGAAACCGGAGCUAAUACCGGAUAAUAUAUUGAACCGAAUGGUUCAAUAGUGAAAGACGGUUUUGCUGUCACUUAUAGAUGGAUCCGCGCCGCAUUAGCUAGUUGGUAAGGUAACGGCUUACCAAGGCAACGAUGCGUAUCCGACCUGAAAGGGAGGUCGGGCACACGGGAUCAGAGACAGGGCCGAGACUCCGGCGGUAGGAAGCAGUAGGGAAUCUUACGCGAGGGGGGAGAGGCUGACGGAGCAACGCGGCGGGAGGGAUGAAGGUCUUCGGAUCGGAAAACUCUGUUAGUAGUAAAAAACAAAUGUGUUAGUAACGAUGCACGUCUUGACGGUACCUGAUCAGAAAGCCACGGCUAACUACGUG
rnacentral:rRNA from 1 species